rnacentral:lncRNA from 1 species
CCCAAACCCCAACCAAUGCAGGCUGCAGGCGAACCCUCACCUGAAGGAAGGGGCCGUGACUUCGGUGAAUCUGACUAAGCUCGAAGGUGGUGUGGCCUAUAAUGUGGUACCUGCUACCAUGAGUGCCUGUUUUGACUUCCGAGUGGCGCCAGAUGUAGACAUGAAGGUGCCGCCCCCACCCAGGUUUGAGGGAGAGAGCCUGGGCACUCAUCCCGUACUGGAGGCUCAGCUCAUACCCCUUCCUUCAGGCCUUCGAGAAGCAGCUGCAGAGCUGGUGCCAGGAAGCGGGAGAGGGGGUCACCUUUGAGUUUGCUCAGGUAUUGACUUGGGACCUAUGAUGAGGGAACCACAGGAGUUGGAGCUUACUAGGUCUGGAAUUAUGUAGGACCCCUGCAGAUAUCUGGCUGACUCCCUAACCAUGAGAGAUGUUUCAUUUACCCAGUAAGCAGUAGAUGCAAAGACCAUUCUGAAUGGUAAGGGAUAAAAUGGCGGGGGGUGGGGAGGGUCUUCUCUUGCCUCAUGUUCGCGGCAGCAUGGAGCAGGGAGGCACGUUUGCAACCUUUGAUAGGAAAUCUGGAGUGUGGCUCAGUUGGUCGAGUGCUUGCCUAGCAUGCCUGAAGCCUUAGUUUGAUCCCCAGCACCCUCCUAAAGGAGGAAUGUGACAUAAGCCCAUGAGCAAUCAGAGGUGGAGAUCAAGGCCAGCCUUGGC